GAUGAACGCUGGCGGCGUGCCUAAUACAUGCCAGUCGAGCGAACGGACGAGAAGCUUGCUUCUCUGAUGUUAGCGGCGGACGGGUGAGUAACACGUGGAUAACCUACCUAUAAGACUGGGAUAACUUCGGGAAACCGGAGCUAAUACCGGAUGAUAUUUUGAACCGCAUGGUUCAAAAGUGAAAGACGGUCUUGCUGUCACUUAUAGAUGGAUCCGCGCUGCAUUAGCUAGUUGGUAAGGUAACGGCUUACCAAGGCAACGAUGCAUAGCCGACCUGAGAGGGUGAUCGGCCACACUGGAACUGAGACACGGUCCAGACUCCUACGGGAGGCAGCAGUAGGGAAUCUUCCGCAAUGGGCGAAAGCCUGACGGAGCAACGCCGCGUGAGUGAUGAAGGUCUUCGGAUCGUAAAACUCUGUUAUUAGGGAAGAACAUAUGUGUAAGUAACUGUGCACAUCUUGACGGUACCUAAUCAGAAAGCCACGGCUAACUACAUG
rnacentral:rRNA from 1 species